rnacentral:lncRNA from 1 species
GCUGUGUAGUGCUAGGGCAAAAAAACAAAACGUGCACCACUUGGGGUCUUGGCUGCCCUGUGCAUACUGCUGCGCCAAACUCUGUUACCGCCGCCCGUACCCACUCCGCCGCAAGCUAUUCCAGGUUGUGAAAACCGGUCUGGCGUACAUGCAAACUUCAGUCCCCUGGCCAGCGGGACCUGAGGAGACGACUCUGCUAUGACCCCACACGCAAUUCAGGAUGUUGACAGAUGGCCUUGGGUUAUGCGUUUGAUUGGAUUGUAACAAUCAACACGUUAUCCCUGUGAAUCACAAGCAGUUGCCAUGGUGCAGGUGAGAGAGGUCAUGGGGCCAUGGGCAGUUCCAGGGUUGGGGUCAUUCUCUUCAGAUUUCGUCGUGUUCUCUCUGCUCUUCCUCCUCCUCUCCAUCAUCCUCGCCCUCUGCACUAACUGUAGAAGGUGAUUCUCCAAGUGCCUUGCAGAUUGCCAACAGAACCCCCAUGGUCAUGACGAUUAUAUCUCCUUCGCCUCCAGCAACCGUCGACAUUGGUGACCUGAGUGAUGUCCUGAACUUCACACCUGAGCUCCACUUUAUCCCAGCCCCCAUUGUCAUGGUGGAAGUCGACACCCCCCUUGAAUCUUUAUCCCCACCUGUCUAUUCAGAGGACACCCUAGAUGCCACAAUCGUGAGCAGUUUUGAACCUGUUGAUGUCCCCAUUGUGGAGGUCCCCAUCAUGAGCAGCCUUAAACCUGUUGCUGUCCCCAUCCUUGAACCUCUGGUUGUCCCCAUCGUGAGCAUUCUUGAACCUGUGGAAGUCCCCAAUGUGAAUGUCCACAUCGUGAGUAGUUUUGAAUCUGUGGAAGCCCCCAUCGUGGAUCUCCCCAUCAUGGAUGUCACCAUUGUGAACAGCCUUGAACCUCUGCAAGCCCCAAUUGUGGAUGCACCCAUCGUGAGCAGCCUUGAACCUGUUGAACAUGCAGAUGCCACUGUCAUGAAUGACCUUGAUAUCCUGAAUGCUCCAGUUGGCUUAGAGAACCUGGAUGCCCCAGUCAUCAACAGUCUUGACACACUGGUGCUGGACGCUCUUAUUGUAAACAGCCUUGAACCUGUGGACAUCCCUGUCAUCAAUGACCUUGACACUCCAGAUACCCCCAUCAUAAAUAUUCUUGACACCCUGGAGCUGGAUGCUCCCAUCAUAGAUGUCCCCAUUGUGGACAGCCUUGCACCUGUGGAAUUCCCCAUCAUGAAUGACAUUGACCUCCUGGAGAACCCUGCGGAGUUCAGCUCCAGCUUUAACCCUCAGCUUGAAGUAGAGGUUCAUGUGGAGGGUGAGGACCAGAACCAGGGGCUUUGUCUGUGUGUCCAACCUCAGCGUACCUAUGAGAUCAUUGGGGAGCCCAAUCCUGAUGAACCCUCUGGAAGUGGACCUGGCAACCCCAGGCUCUCAAACCAUAGCUGAACUGGUCCAUAACUCCACCACACAUUCUGACGAUGACACAACCACAGUCACCGAGCCAGCGGACCUGGAAAGCCCAGGCUAUGAUACUAUAGCUGAACUGGUCCAGGAUUCGAGUGCAACCACACUGCCUGACGAUGACCCUAUCACAACCACAGUCACAGAGCCAGGGGAUCAGAUAACCCCUGCGUAUGAAACCAUUGCUGAACUGGUCCAUAAAUUGAGCGCAACCACACUGCCUGACGAUGAGCCAAUAAGAACCACAGUCACAGAGCCAGGAGAAGGGCUUGACCUUACAAGCCCUCUCUCAGUGGCAGAGGAGGGUUUCUGUGACGGGGUGGAAUCCAAUGUACGCUAGAGUGAGAAAGAAGCUUAGUAAAAGUACCACCCCACCACCUGUGCUUCCAUCGGAGGACGAGGAACCGGAGGGAUUUUCACCUCCAUUACCAGAGAGAAGUGGAGAGAUGGAGGGAUGAUCAUUGUAGAAUAUCUCAUAAGACUUCAAAUGUGUGUUACGUCAUCAAUUAUAUUUAUAUAGACUCAACUGUGUCAUUUCUGGUGGAACAUGUCUCAGAUGAUGAAGAUAAGGGUUGUACCCAGUACAUAUCUUAUACGAUCUCAUAUGAGACGGGUAUCUCACUGUCCUAUCCUUCAUAUACACUAUUUCCAGUCCUUUCAUUAGCUUUGCAUUGAACUCCGUACAAUGCUAUGCUACAUAUUCCAUAAGGAAGGACCCUAAGCCCAGAGUAGAACUGGGUCACCUAACAUGUUCCAGAGUAGGCUUUAUGUUUGUAUUUACUAACACAUUACAGUGUGAAGUGGCAAUUACACAGUAAUAAAUCAUUGAGUUACAGGU